rnacentral:rRNA from 1 species
GACGAACGCUGGCGGCGCGCCUAAUACAUGCAAGUAGAACGCUGACUACUUUAGCUUGCUAGAGUAGAAGGAGUUGCGAACGGGUGAGUAACGCGUAGGUAACCUGCCUACUAGCGGGGGAUAACUAUUGGAAACGAUAGCUAAUACCGCAUAACAGUGUUUAACACAUGUUAGAUGCUUGAAAGAUGCAAUUGCAUCACUAGUAGAUGGACCUGCGUUGUAUUAGCUAGUUGGUGGGGUAACGGCCCACCAAGGCGACGAUACAUAGCCGACCUGAGAGGGUGAUCGGCCACACUGGGACUGAGACACGGCCCAGACUCCUACGGGAGGCAGCAGUAGGGAAUCUUCGGCAAUGGGGGCAACCCUGACCGAGCAACGCCGCGUGAGUGAAGAAGGUUUUCGGAUCGUAAAGCUCUGUUGUAAGAGAAGAACGUGUGUGAGAGUGGAAAGUUCACACAGUGACGUUACCCGCAGAAGAAGCACCGGCUAACUCCGUGCCAGCCGCCGCGGUAA